rnacentral:rRNA from 1 species
CCUACGGGAGGCUGCAGUAGGGAAUCUUCCACAAUGGGCGAAAGCCUGAUGGAGCAACGCCGCGUGGGUGAAGAAGGUCUUCGGAUUGUAAACCCUGUUGUUAGAGAAGAAAGUGCGUGAGAGUAACUGUUCACGUUUCGACGGUAUCUAACCAGAAAGCCACGGCUAACUACGUGCCAGCAGCCGCGGUAAUACGUAGGUGGCAAGCGUUAUCCGGAUGUAUUGGGCGUAAAGGGAACGCAGGCGGUCUUUUAAGUCUGAUGUGAAAGCCUUCGGCUUAACCGGAGUAGUGCAUUGGAAACUGGGAGACUUGAGUGCAGAAGAGGGGAGUGGAACUCCAUGUGUAGCGGUGAAAUGCGUAGAUAUAUGGAAGAACACCAGUGGCGAAAGCGGCUCUCUGGUCUGUAACUGACGCUGAGGUUCGAAAGCGUGGGUAGCAAACAGGAUUAGAUACCCCUGUAGUC